CUUUCCCGGCCAAGAAACCUCCCCCGCUGGGGAGCGCGGCCCGCCGCCCUCACCUGAGCCCCGGCCAGCUGAGCCCGCUACCCGCUCUCCCGCCGCGAUCCGGCCCAGCCGCCAGCUAAAGAAGUCACUUUCAAGAGAUCUGGAGAAGUAAGAUGGCCAAAUAAAAGCCUCUACCAAUCAUCCUCCCCACAGGAACACCAAAUUUAAGAACUAUCUACACAAAAAAGCACCUUCAUAAGAACCAAAAAUCAGAGAGAACAAGGAUAAAGAAGUAUCCAAAUACAAAGAAAAUGUUAUGCAAGUGACCUUUAGAGAUGUUUUAAAGAUGACAAAAUAUUGAUGAAGAUGGGCCAACAAGUGUUACUGUUACCUCUAAUAAAGUUUCAUCACUAGUUUCACCAUGGUUAAUUGGAAAUGGCUUCCGCCCAUCUGUGGAAAACAGACAAACAAUUGAAUGCUUAGCUGUUUUUACAGGAUAAUGUGCUUUCAACUUCCAUU
rnacentral:lncRNA from 10 species